rnacentral:rRNA from 1 species
CCAGAGAACUUUCCAGAGAUGGAUUGGUGCCUUCGGGAACUCUGAGACAGGUGCUGCAUGGCUGUCGUCAGCUCGUGUUGUGAAAUGUUGGGUUAAGUCCCGCAACGAGCGCAACCCUUAUCCUUUGUUGCCAGCGGUCCGGCCGGGAACUCAAAGGAGACUGCCAGUGAUAAACUGGAGGAAGGUGGGGAUGACGUCAAGUCAUCAUGGCCCUUACGAGUAGGGCUACACACGUGCUACAAUGGCGCAUACAAAGAGAAGCGACCUCGCGAGAGCAAGCGGACCUCAUAAAGUGCGUCGUAGUCCGGAUUGGAGUCUGCAACUCGACUCCAUGAAGUCGGAAUCGCUAGUAAUCGUAGAUCAGAAUGCUACGGUGAAUACGUUCCCGGGCCUUGUACACACCGCCCGUCACACCAUGGGAGUGGGUUGCAAAAGAAGUAGGUAGCUUAACCUUCGGGAGGGCGCUUACCACUUUGUGAUUCAUGACUGGGGUGAAGUCGUAACAAGGUAAGCGUAGUGCU